rnacentral:rRNA from 1 species
GACGAACGCUGGCGGCGUGCCUAAUACAUGCAAGUAGAACGCACAGUUUAUACCGUAGCUUGCUACACCAUAGACUGUGAGUUGCGAACGGGUGAGUAACGCGUAGGUAACCUGCCUGGUAGCGGGGGAUAACUAUUGGAAACGAUAGCUAAUACCGCAUAAUAUUAAUUAUUGCAUGAUAAUUAAUUGAAAGGUGCAAUUGCACCACUACCAGAUGGACCUGCGUUGUAUUAGCUAGUAGGUGAGGUAACGGCUCACCUAGGCGACGAUACAUAGCCGACCUGAGAGGGUGAUCGGCCACACUGGGACUGAGACACGGCCCAGACUCCUACGGGAGGCAGCAGUAGGGAAUCUUCGGCAAUGGACGAAGGUCUGACCGAGCAACGCCGCGUGAGUGAAGAAGGUUUUCGGAUCGUAAAGCUCUGUUGUAAGAGAAGAACGGGUGUGAGAGUGGAAAGUUCACACUGUGACGGUAGCUUACCAGAAAGGGACGGCUAACUACGUG